AACAAACUUCCUCAUGGAGGCAGCUGACCUUACCUGACUGUGGGGGCAUGGAUAGCACUACAGGCACUUGGGAAAGGUGGGACACACCAACUCACAAGAGCUGGCUGAGAACUCGGGGCCACUGCACUGAGAAGCCCAUAGCCUGCAGAAACACAGUACCAGAGAGAGAGAGAGAGAGAGAGAGAGAGGCAGAAGCUCCCCAAGGAUCUGCAGGAGUGUUGAUAAAGGUGUCUCUUGUUCCCAUCUCCUCUGGAGGAUGGGGAGAGCCCAGGCUGCAUCCAGAGGAAAUCACCGAGUAUCUACAGACAUCAGCUGCCAACUUCAGACCAGCCAUGCCAUGGUGGGCAAGGCUGACUGCAGAUUUGAAGCAUUGUUUCUGAUUUUGAGGAUGAGUUUUUGUUUACAGAGGACACUGAGAGCACCACAGUUCCAGGAUUUCUCAUCCAGGAUUUCUGUCGUAUCUCCUUGUCCUGUAGUGGCUGAGAGAUGUCACCUCUGGCUUUGACGUUCCCUGCCGGCUGGCCCUGGCUUAUUCAUGGCACCCCUCCCUUGACACAGGGACUUGUCUCAGCACGGUGUGACCUCAAGAGCCACUGUCUAUGGUCUGCUAGCCCUGUCUGGCAGCUUGAAUGGCCUGAUCUCACUUUGGUUUGAUGCGUAAUACCAUGAACGAAUGACUUACAGAAC
rnacentral:lncRNA from 1 species